rnacentral:rRNA from 1 species
GUCCACGCCCUAAACGAUGGAUACUCGACAUACGCGAUAUACUGUGUGUGUAUGAGCGAAAGCAUUAAGUAUCCCACCUGGGAAGUACGAUCGCAAGAUUGAAACUCAAAGGAAUUGACGGGGUCCGCACAAGCGGUGGAGCAUGUGGUUUAAUUCGAUGAUACGCGAGGAACCUUACCUGGGCUAGAAUGCGGUUUGACCGUAGGUGAAAGCUUAUUUGUAGCAAUACACAGAUCGUAAGGUGCUGCAUGGCUGUCGU